rnacentral:rRNA from 1 species
GAUGAACGCUGGCGGCGUGCCUAAUACAUGCAAGUCGAGCGAACGGACGAGAAGCUUGCUUCUCUGAUGUUAGCGGCGGACGGGUGAGUAACACGUGGAUAACCUACCUAUAAGACUGGGAUAACUUCGGGAAACCGUAGCUAAUACCGGAUAAUCUUUUGAACCGCAUGGUUCAAAAGUGAAAGACGGUCUUGCUGUCACUUAUAGAUGGAUCCGCGCUGCAUUAGCUAGUUGGUAAGGUAACGGCUUACCAAGGCAACGAUGCAUAGCCGACCUGAGAGGGUGAUCGGCCACACUGGAACUGAGACACGGUCCAGACUCCUACGGGAGGCAGCAGUAGGGAACCUUCCGCAAUGGGCGAAAGCCUGACGGAGCAACGCCGCGUGAGUGAUGAAGGUCUUCGGAUCGUAAAACUCUGUUAUUAGUGAAGAACAGAUGUGUAAGUAACUGUGCACAGCUUGACGGUACCUAAUCAGAAAGCCACGGCUAACUACGUG